GUCGAACGAUGAUGCCCAGCUUGCUGGGCGGAUUAGUGGCGAACGGGUGAGUAACACGUGAGUAACCUGCCCUUGACUUCGGGAUAACUCCGGGAAACCGGGGCUAAUACCGGAUAUGAGCCGUCCUCGCAUGGGGGUGGUUGGAAAGUUCUUCGGUCAGGGAUGGGCUCGCGGCCUAUCAGCUUGUUGGUGGGGUGAUGGCCUACCAAGGCGACGACGGGUAGCCGGCCUGAGAGGGCGACCGGCCACACUGGGACUGAGACACGGCCCAGACUCCUACGGGAGGCAGCAGUGGGGGAAUAUUGCACAAUGGGCGAAAGCCUGAUGCAGCGACGCCGCGUGAGGGAUGAAGGCCUUCCGGGUUGUAAACCUCUUUCAGCAGGGAAGAAGCGCAAGUGACGGUACCUGCAGAAGAAGCGCCGGCUAACUACGUGCCAGCAGCCGCGGUAAUACGUAGGGCGCAAGCGUUGUCCGGAAUUAUUGGGCGUAAAGAGCUCGUAGGCGGUUUGUCGCGUCUGGUGUGAAAACUCGAGGCUCAACCUCGAGCUUGCAUCGGGUACGGGCAGACUAGAGUGCGGUAGGGGAGACUGGAAUUCCUGGUGUAGCGGUGGAAUGCGCAGAUAUCAGGAGGAACACCGAUGGCGAAGGCAGGUCUCUGGGCCGCAACUGACGCUGAGGAGCGAAAGCAUGGGGAGCGAACAGGAUUAGAUACCCUGGUAGUCCAUGCCGUAAACGUUGGGCACUAGGUGUGGGGCUCAUUCCACGAGUUCCGUGCCGCAGCAAACGCAUUAAGUGCCCCGCCUGGGGAGUACGGCCGCAAGGCUAAAACUCAAAGGAAUUGACGGGGGCCCGCACAAGCGGCGGAGCAUGCGGAUUAAUUCGAUGCAACGCGAAGAACCUUACCAAGUCUUGACAUGCACGAGAAGCCACCAGAGAUGGUGGUCUCUUUGGACACUCGUGCACAGGUGGUGCAUGGUUGUCGUCAGCUCGUGUCGUGAGAUGUUGGGUUAAGUCCCGCAACGAGCGCAACCCUCGUCCCAUGUUGCCAGCGGGUUAUGCCGGGGACUCAUGGGAGACUGCCGGGGUCAACUCGGAGGAAGGUGGGGAUGACGUCAAAUCAUCAUGCCCCUUAUGUCUUGGGCUUCACGCAUGCUACAAUGGCCGGUACAAAGGGCUGCGAUACCGUAAGGUGGAGCGAAUCCCAAAAAGCCGGUCUCAGUUCGGAUUGGGGUCUGCAACUCGACCCCAUGAAGUCGGAGUCGCUAGUAAUCGCAG
rnacentral:rRNA from 1 species